UACGAAGGGGGCUAGCGUUGCUCGGAAUCACUGGGCGUAAAGCGCACGUAGGCGGAUAUUUAAGUCAGGGGUGAAAUCCCAGAGCUCAACUCUGGAACUGCCUUUGAUACUGGGUAUCUUGAGUAUGGAAGAGGUAAGUGGAAUUCCGAGUGUAGAGGUGAAAUUCGUAGAUAUUCGGAGGAACACCAGUGGCGAAGGCGGCUUACUGGUCCAUUACUGACGCUGAGGUGCGAAAGCGUGGGGAGCAAACAGG
rnacentral:rRNA from 1 species